GGUGACGAUGGCCCACAGCAGGGAGUCAAAGUUCUUUCUGUCGGGCACGGUGUCUCCGGUGUCUGUCUUCAGGCUGAACUUGCAACCGAAAAGGCGAGAGGAACAAGACCAGAGGCGGAACAGACGUGGGGAGACCACUCUGGCUUCGGGCGGCAACUGGGACCUGGAACACCUGCCUCAUUCAGCCCCUCUGGACCGAGAGAACCCCGCCUGUCUGGCUUCUUACCCUCCAGCUGACCCUGACCCUGAGCUCCAGGCUAGACUGGCACCCAGCGGGCGCUCAGAACAGCCCAGUUGGAGCCUGAUGCCCAUCCCCACCCCCAGCAUUCUACCCUUAUUUCACAAAUGCUCCCGCUACGGCAAACAUGAUUCAGCCUCUUAAGCUGGUCUUUCUCGCUGGGUCUGGCCCCAAACAGCUCAGCCCUGAGGCUACUGCACACCUGCAUUGUUCCUGCAGGGAACAGCUCUUCUAGUUUCCAGAAACAUCCUUCUGAGAUGCAGCUGACCUAACAGGUGGAUUCUUUGCCAGACAGUGGAGCUUCCCGGGCCCCUCUGGCCUGGGGAGCGGGUGGGGACCCACCUGAUGACCACGAUGAUGCCG